rnacentral:sRNA from 1 species
AGGGCGGCUAGGGUAGCUCCCGAAAAGCCGGUUUUCCGCCCGGCCUGCCGCCUAAUUGCAUUGCGGA